CGGGAAGAAAGCUUGCUUUCUUUGCCGGCGACCGGCGCACGGGUGAGUAACACGUAUCCAACCUACCCUUUACUCGGGGAUAGCCUUUCGAAAGAAAGAUUAAUACCCGAUAGCAUAAUGAUUCCGCAUGGUUUCAUUAUUAAAGGAUUCCGGUAAAGGAUGGGGAUGCGUUCCAUUAGGUUGUUGGCGGGGUAACGGCCCACCAAGCCUUCGAUGGAUAGGGGUUCUGAGAGGAAGGUCCCCCACAUUGGAACUGAGACACGGUCCAAACUCCUACGGGAGGCAGCAUG
rnacentral:rRNA from 1 species